UGAACUCCUACUAAACUCCAACCCACGUUAGUGCGCCGUAUACAUCCCCCUUUUCUUUCUCUCUCUCUCUCUUCAAUUUCCCUCAUCUCCCCAGCUCCCCUUCUCUUUCUCUCUCUUCAACCUCCCUCAAUAUCUCUCUCAUCUUUUUUUUCUUUUCUUCCGACACUCAUAUCUCUUCAACCUCCCUCAAUCUCUUCUCUCUAGCUUUUUCUUCUGUUUCUAUUUUUUUUUCAAUUUCAUUUUCAACUCUUUCAUUUAAUUAAUUUCAAUGAUUUGAUUUUUUCUUAUAUAUAUAUUUUUUUUGUUUAAAUUUAAAUCUGAUGAGUUUGUGUGUGCUGAAUUGUUUAUGUAGGUGAAGAAUUUGAGUAAAUCUUCGAUAUGAAUUAAGGAGUCAAGUAUUGAAGAACAAAGCUCUAAAGAGCAGAUAUGGAAGGGAAAUACUUGGAGGUGAAGAAGGAGAAUAGAUCUUGUAUGUGUUUUCACAAUAAGGGAUUUAAUCUCGUCAUUUGUUGAUAGCAGGAAUCGUUGAUUUGAUAAAUUUGGGGAGAACAAGGACGGAAAUAAAUUCAAGUAUACAUAGUAUGAGGUUUAUGUUUAGUUUUAGAUCGAUUUUUUUUUUAGAAUUAUUCAUACUCAUCUUUGUAAUUGUAAUUCAAGUGAAUUAUGUCAUAAUAAAAGUUCCUUUUUGUUA